CAAGUUGUUAACAACUUGUGACAAGUUUGUUAUCAGACUUGUUGCAAGGUUGUUCCAUCCAGUCAUGAUAUAAUAAUAUUGUUACAACUUUGUAAGAACAACCUUGUAACAAGUCUGUAAUGCCAUCAACUCAUCAAGCUUGUUACAAGUUGUUAACAGCUUGUUUCAAACUUGGGACAACAACUGGGAACAAGCAGUGCGAACACAACUUGUCGACAGCUUCUGAACAUAUUUGUAACAACUUGUUUGCAGACUUGUAACAAUUUGUGCGUUUUUACGUGUGUACACAGGUAAAAACGCACAAAUUGUAACAAACCUGCAGCAGACUUGUAGCAACGCUGUUCCAACAACUUGUCAACAGGAUGCGAACACAUCUUGUUCACAACUUGCGAGAUUUUUACGUGUGUAGAUAACUGCAUACUACACACGUAAAAACACACAAAUUGUUACAGAUCUGCAAACAAGUUGUAACAAGGUUGUUGUGAAGCCGGUAUCAGGAUGUGUUCGCACUGCUUGUUCCCAGUUGUUGUGACAAGUCUGGAACAAGUUGUUAUCACCUUGUUACAAGGUUGAUGACGGUAACAGACUUGCUUGCAUGUUGUUCCAACAAGACUACGCACGUAAAAAUCUCACAUCUUGUAGCAAGUCUGCUAACAAGCCGUCAACAAGUUGUGUUCGCACUGCUUGUCACAAAUUGUCAACAAGUUUGGAACAAGCUGUUAACUAGAAAUACAUGCAUGCAAUAACCCCUCGCCUGUUUUCAAAAGAUGUAUACUCAGUGCCGUUGUGUGCACUUCGUCUCAGGGUGUG